rnacentral:lncRNA from 1 species
UGUGCACUGAAAGGGGCAGGAGGCAGCACAGCGGAGCUGCUGAUUAAUGACAACAGCCAUGGAGGAUUUUCCUAUUAUGCCAAGCGUCGGAGGGAAACAGACAGAAGGGGUAUGCGACUGCAACGUCACCGACGUGAACUUUACGUGGCCUUAUUGGUACAACAGGAAGCAACAGAAGAUGUUCCUCAUUUACAUAAAGCUCCAAUCAUGAGUCAUCUCUAUCUUCUACAGCUCCGCUUGUCACUCUGACGAGUCUCUGGACGAAAGCUAAGGUCCGAGGAAUCCCUGUACAGGACUGCUGGAAAAUUCAGUUGCUGAGCUGGGAACAGAAUUGAGGAAAGUUGUCCUGAACAAUAAAUCUCUGGCUACCCGAUCA